rnacentral:rRNA from 1 species
CCCUACGGGGUGCACCAGGAUGUAUCCCGGGUAAAACUUCCGGGAAGCUGCUCUCCGCUGUCCUUUGACGAGCUCGAUGACCUUCUCCGUCGGCACCAGGACCUCACCGAACAGGGACUCUUUCCCCUGGGAUUUGAUACGUUCCUCCAAGGCGGAUUUCACCUUGUUCUCAAAGCCGGAAUAUGUAUGAACAAUGUACCAGUAUUUCGCCACGAAACCACCCCGCUCGUGCUUAAAAUUCGCGCCUUUCUUCGACCCUCAAAAGAAAGCUCAUCAUUCGAUGAUUAAUCGCACAAGUCGACUCAAAAUCAAAUCCACAAUCCCGAGAAAUAACGCUGAAAUGAGCACGAUCACCACAACGACCGACGUCGAGCCGAUGGUCUCUUUGCGGGAGAGC